GAGAACAACCGGGUGAAGUUCUACAUGCAGACAGAGGUGUCGGAGCUGCGGGGCCAGGAGGGAAAGGUGGGCCCUUCUCCCUGAUGCUUUCUGUCCUCUGUCCCCUGAGCCUGGGAGCUGGGUCCACCUGUUUACCCACCCACUCCCCACAGCUGAAGGAGGUUGUGCUGAAAAGCAGCAAGGUCGUGCGGGCUGACGUCUGCGUGGUGGGCAUUGGUGAGUUGGUGUGUGGGCAGGCAGGCACAAACCAGCCCAGCCGUCUGCACAUGCUCACAUGUGACCUUGGGCUAGUCCCUUCCCCUCCCAGAGCCUCAGUUUCCACCACAUCUGUCAAACGGGGACCCCCAACUGCCCCCACUUUACGGAGCUGUUGGGGAAGGUGUGUACCGGGCUCAGCCCAGGCCUGGCACAGAGAAUACUCCCAGUGCCCGCUGCCCAGUAACACUCAUCUCCAUGCCCUGCGAGAGUUGACACAGGCGAGACUCGAACUGGCUCCUGCUCCAGCUGAGGUGCCAAUUUGGGUAGGGGCCAAGAUGGGAGGUGGUAGCGCCUGCAGGGGCUGAGGAGGUAUGGCAUGCUGUCCUUCCACUUAGGGGCCUCAUGGAGCACUUCUUGGAGAAGGUGAUAUCUGAGGUCUUGCGGGAGGCACCGGGUCUGUGGGAGCCUGGGUAGUGGGGGCCAGGGUGCAUGAAGGCCUCAGGUGGACAGCCCUGGAGGAUCAGUCUGGGGCUGGCACAUCAAGCGCAUGGUGUGGGGUGUGGAGAGUGACUACGCAGAAGGGAGGGACAGAGGAGUGGACACAGGCUUCCGUCUUGUCAGGUGCAGUGCCCGCCACAGGCUUCCUGAGGCAAAGCGGCAUCGGUCUGGAUUCCCGAGGCUUCAUCCCUGUCAACAAGAUGAUGCAGACCAAUGUCCCAGGCGUGUUUGCAGCUGGCGACGCCGUCACCUUCCCCCUUGCCUGGAGGAACAACCGGAAAGUGAACAUUCCACAUUGGCAGAUGGCUCAUGCUCAGGGGCGCGUGGCAGCCCAGAACAUGUUGGCGCAGGAAGCGGAGAUGAGCACUGUGCCCUACCUCUGGACCGCCAUGUUUGGCAAGAGCCUGCGCUACGCGGGCUACGGAGAAGGCUUCGACGACGUCAUCAUCCAGGGGGAUCUGGAGGAGCUGAAGUUUGUGGCUUUUUACACUAAGUGAGAGCACCGGGGUGCAGCUUGGCGCGAAGCAGCGGGAGCUCAGUCGGGAAGGGGGAUUCAUCCCAGGCAAAAUCCCAGAACAAGAGCCCAGCCCUGAGCCCCGCUGAGGAGUGCUGGAGCUUCCUUAGGAAAGCCCGAAGCUUGUGCACGGUCAAGCCGCGAUGUGCAAAGCAGGGAGGGCUGGGUGCUCAGGCCAUUCCUGUUGCCCUGGGGUAGGUCCUUCCCUGGGCCCCAGAUGGACAGCAGUGCAUCAGGGUUUUCAAAAAGGGGCUGCUGCCUCGCAGUCCUCAGGCUUGGCCAUCUUCUCCUUGCAGAGGCGACGAGGUGAUCGCCGUGGCCAGCAUGAACUACGAUCCCAUUGUGUCCAAGGUCGCUGAGGUGCUGGCCUCAGGCCGUGCCAUCCGGAAGCGGGAGGUGGAGUGAGUGUGGGUGUGGGAAGCCUGGGGGUGGGAGUAGUUCCCUGGAGGACUGGCUAAGGUGCCCAUGACAGCCAGCCGCCCCCAAAAUCCUCCAGGGCCUUUCCCCUCUUGGUUUGCAUCACCUGAGGCUUACAGGACUACAGGGAGGUGUGGGUCAAGGAUCAUGGUUUGGAAGCAGGCUGGUUAUGUGUUCAUGGUGGAUGAAAGGGAUAGGGACGUGUGUCCCCAGGCAGGGCCAGUGCUGUGGGGAGGGAUCAGGGCCCAAUGCAUGGGCAAUCACCAGGCCUGGGACACCAAACUGGACAUGGUUGUGCUGAGCCUGGCAGAAGCUAGGUGGGAAAUGCAGCUACUGAUGCCCUGGGUAUGCCCUCCACAGAGAUGGUGGGGGUGGUUCUAGGUUUCACUCAACACCAGCCAGAUCCCUUAUCCUGGUGUGGUGUCAAUGAGAUCCGCCCUCUGGAAGAGAUCUCCCAGGGACUGGGGACAGCCUGGAGGCCACUGGGAGGCUAUGAGACAGGGGCAGGCUUCAAGCUGGAAACAAUGGAGGACCAGAAGGGGACAUGAUAAAUGACAUGCUCUCUCCUUGGCCUUCUCUCUGUUUCUCUCUCUUGCCUUCGUGAAGGCUGUUUGUGCUGCACAGCAAGUACGUGUGUCCUUCAUGUUGACCGUUCUGAGCCUUUCCCAUGUCAGCCCAGACCCUCCACCCAAUGGUCUAUCUCCAUCUGUCCAAGUACACCUCCCUGCUGGGCACUAGGUUCUGGCACAGAACAGACCCCCUGCUGUCCUCAAGGGCCAGCUGUUCAGGGUGCCCAGAGUGGAGAGCCUGUUUUCUUCUGUCUUGACCCCUCCUCCUCUCACUCCUGCAGGACUGGCGACAUGUCUUGGCUUACGGGGAAAGGAUCCUGACCUCACAUGCAGUAGACUUGGGCAGGCAAAGGGGGGCACCAGGGGCAGAGGCCAAGCCUUGGGAGCAGGUGCCAAUCUCCAGUCCCAGGAUCCCCCAGGGCAGAACCUGAGCCCUCCUAGUGCUUGCCUUCAGCCACCUGGCUCCCCUCCUGGGAGGCCUCUGCUGGAUCCAGAAGAUGCUCAACCCUCAAGGCCUCUGCUGCCACUGACAGCUGGCACUGGAGGCAGGACAGGCCCUGCCUCUUCUCCCUCUAUUGGGACUGGUCCCCUGAAGAACCCUGCAACAUGUUAGACAUUACCGUAAAAUUAAAACGCACAAAUUUGC
rnacentral:sRNA from 1 species